rnacentral:rRNA from 1 species
UACGUAGGUGGCAAGCGUUGUCCGGAUUUACUGGGCGUAAAGGGAGCGUAGGCGGACUUUUAAGUGGGAUGUGAAAUACCCGGGCUUAACCUGGGUGCUGCAUUCCAAACUGGAAGUCUAGAGUACAGGAGGGGAAAGUGGAAUUCCUAGUGUAGCGGUGAAAUGCGUAGAGAUUAGGAAGAACACCAGUGGCGAAGGCGGCUUUCUGGACUGUAACUGACGCUGAGGCUCGAAAGCGUGGGGAGCAAACAGG